UACGUAGGGGGCAAGCGUUGUCCGGAUUUAUUGGGCGUAAAGAGCGUGUAGGCGGCUUUGCAAGUCCGGUUGUGAAAACUCGAGCUCAACCUCCGAGACGCCGGUGGAAACUGCAAAGCUAGAGUCCGGAAGAGGAGAGUGGAAUUCCUGGUGUAGCGGUGAAAUGCGCAGAUAUCAGGAAGAACACCCGUGGCGAAGGCGGCUCUCUGGGACGGUACUGACGCUGAGACGCGAAAGCGUGGGGAGCGAACAGG
rnacentral:rRNA from 1 species